rnacentral:lncRNA from 1 species
CUCGGCUCCCGAGGUCUGGGGCCGGGCCCGGCCGGGCGGCGCUUCCCGGACCUGCAGCCGCGACGCGCAGCCGCCGGGACAGGCGUUCCGAGGCUUCAGGAGAGACCCGGGCAGGGCUCGCCGGGUGCAGCCAGACCUCUUGCCGAGGAGGAGCAGCGUCUGGUUUCCGUUCCUGGUGUUUCCGGAGAAUGUUUCCGCGCCCGACCCGCAGGAGUUAGUUCAUCCGUCCUCCACUUGGAGAGGAGGCGCAGCUGGGGAGCAGGGCGGGGAGCCGGAGCUUUGAGGGGCCGGGCUCCUGCUGUCUCCCUGGAGGGAGGGAGAGGACGGUGGUGGCGCCUCUGUCCCUGGCGUUGAGUCCCAGCCAAGAACCUCCUCCCCCGCAGGACCAGCAGGUGGCUUCCGACCAAGGGCGCUGCCUGGCCACCUGCGGGGUGGAGCGAUUCUGAGCUGCCCCUGGGCAGGACAGGUCUGGGGGCCGAAGUGGUCCCGGGCCGCAGCUCCUCAGAGGGCGAAGGGCCGGCCAAGCUCAAGCCCCGGUGCUGGGCAGUGGAGACUGGAAGCGAUCCCGACCUGUCUGAGGUUCCCAGGCUCAGGACAGCUGCCUGUGACAUUUGUGCCGAACCUGACAGUUUGCUACUCCCCACCCCGCCCGCUCCUGUGCCCCCACCUGGGCACCCGCCGGCCUCUUCUGGGGUGGCGUCUCAGCGGUGGAACUGCACGGGGCAUUCUCCUCUGUGGCUUCACUUGUGGGAAAAAGAGGUCCAGAAGUCUGGUUGACGGCCGUGGCAGAGAAACGAGUCUGAGCAAACUCAGACUCCUCGGCAAACCGAGUAACUCGCCCCGCCUAGGCUGUCCCUUUCUGACCUCUUGCUUCCACACAGCCCCCCGCCAAAAAGUACUGCCUCUAAACCAUGCCCCUAGCCCGCCUCCAUUGCCACGCCUCUAGCCUGCUCUAUAAAAUGCCUGGUACUUACGCAAUAAACUAGAUCUGCGCCA